GCCUCUGAUGAUGAUCAAAUAAUAACUUUCGCUCUUCCGAGUUGUCCGUGUGGAAAAUUAAUGGAGACCUGAACUGAAGAGGC